AGUGAACGCUGGCGGUAGGCCUAACACAUGCAAGUCGAACGGCAACACAGUAAGAGCUUGCUCUUACGGGUGGCGAGUGGCGGACGGGUGAGGAAUACAUCGGAAUCUACUUUUUCGUGGGGGAUAACGUAGGGAAACUUACGCUAAUACCGCAUACGACCUACGGGUGAAAGCAGGGGAUCUUCGGACCUUGCGCGAUUGAAUGAGCCGAUGUCGGAUUAGCUAGUUGGCGGGGUAAAGGCCCACCAAGGCGACGAUCCGUAGCUGGUCUGAGAGGAUGAUCAGCCACACUGGAACUGAGACACGGUCCAGACUCCUACGGGAGGCAGCAGUGGGGAAUAUUGGACAAUGGGCGCAAGCCUGAUCCAGCCAUACCGCGUGGGUGAAGAAGGCCUUCGGGUUGUAAGGCCCUUUUGUUGGGAAAGAAAAGCAGCAGGUUAAUACCCCGCUGUUCUGACGGUACCCAAAGAAUAAGCACCGGCUAACUUCGUG
rnacentral:rRNA from 1 species